GAUGAACGCUGGCGGCGUGCCUAAUACAUGCAAGUCGAGCGAACGGACGAGAAGCUUGCUUCUCUGAUGUUAGCGGCGGACGGGUGUGUAACACGUGGAUAACCUCCCUAUCAGACUGGGAUAACUUCGGGAAACCGGAGCUAAUACCGGAUAAUAUUUUGAACCGCAUGGUUCAAAAGUGAAAGACGGUCUUGCUGUCACUUAUAGAUGGAUCCGCGCUGCAUUAGCUAGUUGGUACGGUAACGGCUUACCAAGGCAACGAUGCAUAGCCGACCUGAGAGGGGGAUCGGCCACACGGGAACGGAGACACGGUCCAGACUCCUACGGGAGGCAGCAGUAGGGAAUCUUCCGCAAUGGGCGAAAGCCUGACGGAGCAACGCCGCGUGAGUGAUGAAGGUCUUCGGAGUGUAAAACUCUGUUAUGAGGGAAGAACAGAUGUGGAAGUAACUGUGCACAGCUUGACGGUACCUAAUCAGAAAGCCACGGCUAACUACGUG
rnacentral:rRNA from 1 species